rnacentral:rRNA from 1 species
UACGUAGGGUGCAAGCGUUGUCCGGAAUUAUUGGGCGUAAAGAGCUCGUAGGCGGUCUGUCGCGUCUGCUGUGAAAACUCGGGGCUUAACCCCGGGCCUGCAUCCGAUACUGCCCGACUAGAGGUAGGUAGGGGAGAUCGGAAUUCCUGGUGUAGCGGUGAAAUGCGCAGAUAUCAGGAGGAACACCGGUGGCGAAGGCGGAUCUCUGGGCCUUACCUGACGCUGAGGCGCGAAAGCGUGGGGAGCGAACAGG